AUUGAACGCUGGCGGCAUGCUUUACACAUGCAAGUCGAACGGCAGCGCGGGCUUCGGCCUGGCGGCGAGUGGCGAACGGGUGAGUAGUACAUCGGAACGUGCCCAGUAGUGGGGGAUAGCUCGGCGAAAGCCGGAUUAAUACCGCAUACGACCUGAGGGUGAAAGCGGGGGAUCUUCGGACCUCGCGCUAUUGGAGCGGCCGAUGGCAGAUUAGCUAGUUGGUGGGGUAAAGGCCUACCAAGGCGACGAUCUGUAGCUGGUCUGAGAGGACGACCAGCCACACUGGGACUGAGACACGGCCCAGACUCCUACGGGAGGCAGCAGUGGGGAAUUUUGGACAAUGGGCGAAAGCCUGAUCCAGCAAUGCCGCGUGUGUGAUGAAGGCCUUCGGGUUGUAAAGCACUUUCGGCGGGAACGAAAAGGACUGUGCCAAUACCACGGUUCGAUGACGGUACCCGCAGAAUAAGCACCGGCUAACUACGUG
rnacentral:rRNA from 1 species